rnacentral:rRNA from 1 species
AACGAACGCUGGCGGCAGGCUUAACACAUGCAAGUCGAACGCUCUCUUCGGAGGGAGUGGCAGACGGGUGAGUAACACGUGGGAACCUACCCCUUGGUACGGAAUAACUGAUGGAAACGUUAGCUAAUACCGUAUGAGCGCUGAGGCGGAAAGAUUUAUCGCCAAGGGAUGGGCCCGCGUAGGAUUAGCUAGUUGGUGGGGUAAAGGCCUACCAAGGCGACGAUCUUUAGCUGGUCUGAGAGGAUGAUCAGCCACACUGGGACUGAGACACGGCCCAAACUCCUACGGGAGGCAGCAGUGGUGAAUAUUGGACAAUGGGCGCAAGCCUGAUCCAGCCAUGCCGCGUGAGUGAUGAAGGCCUUAGGGUUGUAAAGCUCUUUUGUCCGGGAAGAUAAUGACUGUACCGGAAGAAUAAGCCCCGGCUAACUUCGUGCCAGCCGCCGCUGUAAAAC